AUUUAUAUAGUUUAAUUAAAACACUAUAUUUUCACUAUAGAAAUAAAGGUAACUUUUAUAAAUA
rnacentral:tRNA from 1 species